AGUGAACGCUGGCGGUAGGCCUAACACAUGCAAGUCGAACGGCAGCACAGUAAGAGCUUGCUCUUACGGGUGGCGAGUGGCGGACGGGUGAGGAAUACAUCGGAAUCUACUUUUUCGUGGGGGAUAACGUAGGGAAACUUAGGCUAAUACCGCAUACGACCUACGGGUGAAAGCAGGGGAUCUUCGGACCUUGCGCGAUUGAAUGAGCCGAUGUCGGAUUAGCUAGUUGGCGGGGUAAAGGCCCACCAAGGCGACGAUCCGUAGCUGGUCUGAGAGGAUGAUCAGCCACACUGGAACUGAGACACGGUCCAGACUCCUACGGGAGGCAGCAGUGGGGAAUAUUGGACAAUGGGCGCAAGCCUGAUCCAGCCAUACCGCGUGGGUGAAGAAGGCCUUCGGGUUGUAAAGCCCUUUUGUUGGGAAAGAAAAGCAGCAGGUUAAUACCCCGCUGUUCUGACGGUACCCAAAGAAUAAGCACCGGCUAACCUCGUG
rnacentral:rRNA from 1 species